rnacentral:ncRNA from 1 species
CAGGUUCCGGUUCCCGCCCGGGGCGCCCCAGGGUGCCGACGGCGACCCGGCGACC